rnacentral:rRNA from 1 species
AGCGGCGGACGGGUGAGUAACACGUGGGUAACCUGCCCAAGAGACUGGGAUAACACCUGGAAACAGAUGCUAAUACCGGAUAACAACACUAGACGCAUGUCUAGAGUUUGAAAGAUGGUUCUGCUAUCACUCUUGGAUGGACCUGCGGUGCAUUAGCUAGUUGGUAAGGUAACGGCUUACCAAGGCAAUGAUGCAUAGCCGAGUUGAGAGACUGAUCGGCCACAUUGGGACUGAGACACGGCCCAAACUCCUACGGGAGGCAGCAGUAGGGAAUCUUCCACAAUGGACGAAAGUCUGAUGGAGCAACGCCGCGUGAGUGAAGAAGGGUUUCGGCUCGUAAAGCUCUGUUGGUAGUGAAGAAAGAUAGAGGUAGUAACUGGCCUUUAUUUGACGGUAACUACUUAGAAAGUCACGGCUAACUACGUGCCAGCAGCCGCGGUAAUACGUAGGUGGCAAGCGUUGUCCGGAUUUAUUGGGCGUAAAGCGAGUGCAGGCGGUUCAAUAAGUCUGAUGUGAAAGCCUUCGGCUCAACCGGAGAAUUGCAUCAGAAACUGUUGAACUUGAGUGCAGAAGAGGAGAGUGGAACUCCAUGUGUAGCGGUGGAAUGCGUUGAUAUAUGGAAGAACACCAGUGGCGAAAGGCGGCUCUCUGGUCUGCAACUGACGCUGAGGCUCGAAAGCAUGGGUAGCGAACAGGAUUAGAUACCCUGGUAGUCCAUGCCGUAAACGAUGAGUGCUAAGUGU